UUCUUCUGCUUUUGUUCAACAACAUCAAAAUAAAAAAGAAUUAGAAUUCUAUGUUAGUCUUCCCCAGAUAUUCAAACGUGUAAUCGUUAUAUAGGUGCGUUUCUUAAAUCAUUUGAGAAUAAAACUCAUUUUGAGGACGUCGGCUUUUGAGUGAAUGAACAUUGAACAUACUUCCAGAGGAUUCAAGCUAUACAUUUGUAGUAUUUUUGUGUUAUUUUUUAUUCUUGAGAGGAGUAAGAAGAAAAUUGUAUAAACUAAAAAUACUUUUGACAUCUCUACAAUACAAAUAGAAAAAAGGAUUGUAUGAUGUGAGAAAAAUUGAAUAGAAAAAUCAUAAGAGAACCCAUACCCGGCUUACAAACAACACUUAAUGUACAUGGAUAUGAAACAUUUAACCAUAUUUUUACUCUCUUUCCUUUGCGUGGUGGAAAUAUCAUUCGGCUCCUUACAUUCAAAGGAUCUUUGUGAGGUCGAGGGAUGUUCUUGCAGUGAUGAUAGACUUGAAGUAUACUGUAAAUGUCCACAUAAAGAGGUCAUCCGAAUUGGUGAUCCUCAACACUCGGCUGGAGUUUCUACUCCUCCGGAGUCAACUCGCAAAUUGAUGAUUGAUGAGUGCCAUCAUGUUGAAAUCAUGUCUCAAGCCUUUAACAAACUUCAUUAUAUUCGUAAUGUUACAUUGAAUAAAGCUCAUAGCAUCGUCAUUCAUCCUCGGAUUUUCAACUCUAGACAAUCUCAGAUUGGCUCUUCACUCCCAUUGGAAAACUUCAAAAUCUCAAAUGUACGAAAUUUAGAAGUAAGGCGACAUAGCUUCGAAGGAAUUGAAAUAUACGGAACAUUUUCUCUUAAUAAUGUCCUUCUCAAAAGUGUUCCAUCCCUAUCCUUUAGUUUUGAUCUAGUAAAUGAAUUUGAGAUCAUUGGAUCAAGAAUACAUCGGAUAUCAAUGUGGGGAAUAAAAUUACCAAAAUGUCACGAAUUUCGAUCCACAGAGAAGACACAAUAUUUUAGUCUUUCAUCUCAUGCGCUUUUUAUGUCUUGUCAAAAUUUUUUACUAUUACGAAAUGUAUUUGGAAGUCUUCAUGAUGCAUCCAUGAAUGUUUCAUAUCGCUAUGCAGAAAUAAGAAAGAAUACAUUUGAGACAAUCACUGGGAAGCCAUUUAUCAAUUUAAGACAUAAUUCACCUGAUGGGAGCUUCAUAUUCCGUGAGAAUAAAUUUCGAGUUGACUCCUCCCUACCGGAAGAUGCUUUAUCCAUGCCUAACUUUGAUGGAUCCGUUGACUCCUAUAUCGACAGCAAUCACUUUGUAUGUGAUUGUGAUAAAUUAGCAUGGCUCAUAUACUCAACCAAAGAGGCCUUUACACAAGAGAGCAAAGAAGUACCUACUUCCAUAUUUCUGAAGGAAUUAGUUAAAUCCUCUGGGAAAUGUUUGAAUUGUGAUUUGAGAGGAUGUAGUUUGGGAAAAAAGGAAUUUAGAGAUUUCUUAAAAAAUAUUGAGGUAUCAAAAACGUCAGAGGGUUACACAUGCUCUAAGGAGGCAACAAAAAUAAAGGAAAUCAAAGAAACAACACCAGUUUCAGUAGAAAUAACGCCAGUACCAGUAUAUAUAACACAAAAUCCUUUUGAUCAUGAAUACGAGGAGCUUCUGGAAAAAGAGGAAAAGGAAGUAAUGAAGGUGUCUAGGUUUGGAAAUGUUCAAUCUAUUCAAAAUCCCGAAUCUAAAAGGUUUAAUGUGGAUAUGGUAGGAUUUGAGGAGGAAGAUAUUGAUCAUGGAGAAGAUAGUGAUUCUGACGACAUUGGUGAUGAUUAUGUUCAUAAUAAUGAUGUCGAUCAUAUUGAAGCGAAUAAAGGGGGAUUGAUUGACUUACCAGUUGACGGCGGUGGAUCUCCAAAUAUCAGUCCAUCAAUUACUCUGUUUACACUAAUGAUCAUGUACCAUUUAUGUAGGCGGCAACACCAACUGAGACUCUGAGGAAUACUUUAUACAUAAAACUUAGUUAUAACCUUUAAUAGACAUUAAAAGAGUUGUUAUAUUUGUUAAUCCAUCCUGUUUUAUUUGAUUCGAAGUUGUGUGUUUCUCUAUUACACAUAUAUAAUUAAAUAUGUAUCCAUUAUGUACUAUGUAAUAACAUUUCAGAAAAACUUAAAUAAUUACAUUUGUUAUAUUAUUAAAUAUGGAUAGCACAUCGAAGUUAUUCCAUAAUUAGACUUUUAUGUAAUAUGUUUGUAUAAAUCUGCAAAAUUAAUGCUUUGGAUUGAAUUAAUUUUUUUUUCUCAUUAGGUUAACGAUCGAAGGAUUAUUAUUUAAUAAAAAUAUUGAGUUCCUAAAAAAAUAUUAUUAAUAAUAUUAUUUAUAUAAAUAUAUAUAUUAAUCUCUUAUUUUAUAUCUAUAAAAAAACCCAUGUAUAUAUACAAUAUUUAUACUUUAUUGGUCUUAUGUUUAAAACUUUACGUACGUUACCUUAAGCUGAGACUUUUAUUAUUUCCACCCUUAAAAAUGGAUUCCUUAACAUCUGGAUAGACACAGGCUACGCAACCUCAUUAUUAGAACUUUUAAAAUAAAUAAUAAAUAAUUAUUCCUCUAUUAAAUAAUAGUUGUAGAAGAGAAGAAUUAAUUCUUGUUAAAAAGUGAUUAAUCAUACACGAGGAGAUCGUCCAUUGAAAACCCUCAUUUGUGAUUUUAGCAAUUAAUUAUGGAAUUGUGGAUUGGUUGGUGUAAGAUUUUGUAACAAAAUUUUAUCUUUUGGUGGGGAAACUUGAAAGAGUCCUUCAAAAGCAAUGAUCAAGUAUGAUUUAAUUCUGUUGAAGAAAGAGAUCGCUUUUAUUAGUGAGCAUGGAGGAAGGACCUCUUAUUAAACCACAUUGAUGGAAGACAUUUUUUGAAAGAAUAUCCAUGACAUAGUUAUGAUAUUGUUAGUUCUAAUGCAUUGGUCUGUUCCUUCGUAGUUCAUCAUAUUUAUCUUUUAUUGGAGAAAAGCGUCUUUUAGUGAAAAUGUUUUCAUCUGUAGAUGACUUCACAUUAAGUCAUUCUUGUCUCACCCCUUGUGUUUGGAUAUGAUCUCCAUUUUCUAAUUCAUAAAGUGUUGAAAAUAGUGUUUCUGAUUUGAUUUCCUAGAUGAUUAUGUUUGUGGUUCAUUUUUGAGGAAUUUAUUAUCGUGGAUACCUUUCCUUCGCUCUACAUAUAUAUAUAUGUAGAGACGAUAUCUGCUUGAAUAUGUACCUCUAACCUCAGAAUUUUAAACUUAUAUUAUGGAUACAUAUCUUAUGUAUGGAUUAUUCAACAUGUUAAGCAUGAAUGAGUCCAUACUCCAUAUUUUGUUUAUUUUAAUGCAACAAAUCGUGAUUAUUGCCACUGCUCAAACUGAAGACACGACACAUAAUGAAGUUAGGUUCAUAUUUAUUUCAUUUCAAAUUGAUUUUGAUUAUUUAUUGUGGUAGCAAGUUCAACUUUUACUUCCGUAUAUUUAUGUAUUUAGAUAUGAAUUUUUAAUUGAAAUGGUUCAUGAUUACAUUGAUCACUCGAUGUAGAGUAAUUCAACUAUAAAGUAACAAAUAAACUUAUUUCUUGUUCAGUUCUAUAAUUAUUAUUUUUAUUUGAAAAUCCUAUCAUGUAUUGCUCGGAAAAAAAUAAUAGUUUUUGCUAAAAAAUUAAUUGAGCUAGAUCGGAAAUGGUUGGAUUGCAGUUGUUUAUUCUAAUCAUUUAACGUCUAGGAAGAAUAAUCAAUUUAUAUUCAAAAAUAAUACUUAUUUAUAACUAAUUGAAGAUGAAAUAAUAUUUUUGUAUAACUUAUUGAAUCAAAACAGAAAGACUUUUAAUAAAGAGGUUGCGUGAUUUUAAUAACGAAUAGUUUAUCCAGAUGUGAAGUAAUCCAUAUACCUUAAGGCAUUAAAAUUAAAUUACAUAUUAUAAGAGAAAUUGAAAUAAUUUACAUACAAUGGUUUUUUUUGCGAGUUGAUUGUAGGAAAUUAUGACUAAGUUGUGGUAUUACUAAUACCGAUGUAAUACCGUAUUAGAUCGGUCUUAGGACUGAAUUCCUAUGCUGUCUUUUCUCUCCCCUCAUUCGUUCUUUGGUUGAAAUAGAAAUAUAUAAGAUAAUUGAUAAAGCCACAAAGUUUGGAAUUAAUAAAAAAAAAAUUACAAUAAUUCAUAAAAAGAUAGAGAAAAUGGAAGACCAAGUUAAAGCUAGGAAAUUCAGUUAUUUUAAUGUACGUCUGAAUUUAAAGAUCCUAUUGAAUCACAAAAAGGAGAUAUCCUUUACUAUAACUUUAACAAGAAGUAGGUAAAUAAAUAGAAAAAUCUUAUUAAAAAAGAAGAAGUUAAGUAAUCUGCAUUGGAGUAACGAUGGUCUUCAUGAAAAUUUAAACGAUAUGCCAAAUUAUAUUGCUUUGAGAAGUGUCAUCUAGUGUUUUAGUCAAUUUGUAUGGAAAAAAUAUAUCAUUAUGUUUUAUCUAAUUAUGUAUGUUUAAAGUAAUAUAAUACCACUUAUGAGUAAUGUAGUACCAUAAUAAAUUAAGGAUUAAAUUAAAA
rnacentral:misc_RNA from 1 species